rnacentral:SRP_RNA from 1 species
GCCACAGGACAAGGUGUGCUUACGAACCGUGUCAGGUCCGGAAGGAAGCAGCACUAAGUAAGAUGUCAUUUGUGUUCUGUGUUACG